rnacentral:rRNA from 1 species
GUAGGGAAUAUUGGACAAUGGGCGAAAGCCUGAUCCAGCCAUGUCGCGUGAUAGAUGAAGGCCCUCUGGGUUGUAAAUAUCUUUUAUCUGGGAAGAAACUCCUCUAUUCUUAGAGGCCUGACGGUACCAGAGGAAUAAGCACCGGCUAACUCCGUGCCAGCAGCCGCGGUAAUACGGAGGGUGCAAGCGUUAUCCGGAUUCACUGGGUUUAAAGGGUGCGUAGGCGGGUUGAUAGGUCAGUGGUGAAAGCUACGGGCUUAACAUGGAAACUGCCAUUGAUACUGUCAGUCUUGAAUGUCGUAGAGGUAAGCGGAAUGUUGCAUGUAGCGGUGAAAUGCUUAGAUAUGUUACAGAACACCAAUUGCGAAGGCAGCUUACUAUGCGAUAAUUGACGCUGAGGCACGAAAGCGUGGGGAGCAAACAGGAUUAGAAACCCUAGUAGUCC